rnacentral:lncRNA from 1 species
UUUCCUCUGAUUACUAAUUUUAGAGGUUCACUGAGUAUUUUGAGAGAUCUAUAAACUUAUGAAUGACCCUGAUUUAAUGUUGUUUGAAGUAUGUAUUUCUUGUUACUCACUCUAUUCCUCUGAAGACAUGAUUUUCCAUUUUUUUGUUCCCAAAGCCUCCCGAUUUUCCUUAUCUAAUAAAAUAGCUUUCUUUGCAGCUUUUGUUUUUCUUUUCAUUUUGCAGGAGAAAAUACAAGAAAGGCAGAUAUUUUGAGGAAUUUAAUUUUAUCUACACCUUAC